AUUGAACGCUGGCGGCAUGCCUUACACAUGCAAGUCGAACGGCAGCACGGGAGCAAUCCUGGUGGCGAGUGGCGAACGGGUGAGUAAUAUAUCGGAACGUGCCCGGUCGUGGGGAUAACGUAGCGAAAGCUACGCUAAUACCGCAUACGAUCUACGGAUGAAAGCGGGGGAUCGCAAGACCUCGCGCGAUUGGAGCGGCCGAUAUCAGAUUAGGUAGUUGGUGAGGUAAAGGCUCACCAAGCCGACGAUCUGUAGCUGGUCUGAGAGGACGACCAGCCACACUGGGACUGAGACACGGCCCAGACUCCUACGGGAGGCAGCAGUGGGGAAUUUUGGACAAAUGGGCGCAAGCCUGAUCCAGCAAUGCCGCGUGCAGGAUGAAGGCCUUCGGUUGUAACUAGCUUUGUACGGUAACGAAACGGU
rnacentral:rRNA from 1 species